UUAAUAUCCUUCUUGUCUUAGAAACAGCAAGCUCUUGUCUAAAGUGAUGAGCUUACACAAGAACUCUGAGAACAUGAAUGACCCUUUUCAUCUGACUGCUGUGCUGAAUACGUAUUACAUGCUCAGGCUACAGGAAUGGGAAAAAUUCAGGAGAGUCUGCUCUUUGACAUAUAAAUCUGGCAGCAAAAUAAUUAAGGUCAUAUUCAAAUCCCAGUCCCAUAUCUCACCCAUGCUAAGCACAAGUGGGAAAACAUAUUCCAGUUUCCUGAUGGUUAACACUUUAAGUAAUAGAUGGGAGACUUCAUUCUGAUGUCUGACUCACUGCUUUAAUGCUGGGGGAAUCUGAAGGAAAAUAUCAAAAUUGUACACCUUAAAGGACAAGACUGAGAUGAGAAGCUGUUUGAUGCCUGUGAGAAAGAUAUACAGCAGAGAACAACUGCAAUAUUUGGAGUUCUUGAAAUUCCACAUUCAAAUGACGCUAUGACCAACAGCAAACAGGAGGUGAUCCAAGAGAUAAGGAAUCUCCUCAGAUAUUCCUAUAGCCAAAACAACUCAAAGAUUUACCACAACAUUGUCUCUAAAGCUGGCAUUGACAAAAAAAUUGUCACUCAAGAGUUCACAGUGCAGUGCUGCAAAGUCUACUGUUUCCUGCUUCUUCAGGACCCACCGGUUGAAGCUGUGUGGAACCCACAUGAAAUGCAGUAUUUAGAGCAUGUGGACAAGAAAGCCAGUGACCACUGGGAAAAACCAGCAUUUCUGUGGCCCAUAAUGAAAUGCAGGGAACAAGUCAUUGAGAAAGGUGUAGUCUGGGAUGAAAACUAGCAUGAUUUCAGAUUCAAGCUACUGACUUAUAUGGCCACAAGAAGAUGAAAUAGCUGCUGUGCAAGAUGCUGCUUUCUUUCUCCCAUGAAAGGCCUGCUUUUCAGAGCUAGCAAGUUAGAUGUUCCUGGCUUGGGCCACCUAGCGUAAAUCACUAUUUACAAGCAUGUAUUAAAAUUGAAGAUAUUCGCCUCAGCAGCCAUGCGUACACUUUAUGUAACAUUUGUCCCUUGCUGUCUCUAAACAGCAUUUGUGUGGAAAGAGAAUCUGUUUCUCCAGCCUACCUUACCUGCUCUUCACAAAUACUUACAACGUUGUCACAUAACAGUGGGGAUUUCAGCCACCACAUGGAGGCACUUGCCUCCUCCUCACCAACAGCAUGGAGUAGGACCAACGCUUUGCAGGGUCCCUAACAGAAAGGGCAUCACUGCCCUCCCCUGCAUCUAUGGUGGGUACUCAGACUGCAGGCUCAUGCUGUCUGUUAAUGAAUAAGCACCGAGGAUGAAGAUGGUCUGUUGGGAAACACAAAUCCUUCUUGGGUAAACAUGUACUUAGCUGAGUAAGAGAACAAGGAACUAAAAGACAAAGGCUGACAGACUCUCAAAAGACAGCUGUGCAUAGGUAUGUGUGCCCAGACGCAGACAGUGAGGCCCACUCUUAUAUGCCAAAAGGCCACUUGUGUCCACACAAAUGCCACCUCCCCGUCAGUACUCAUCUGCUUUCCCACGUCUGUAGAAUCUACUGCUCCAUAGCCCUUCAGCUCUUGAUCAAAGUGAGGCAAAUGCAUGUUUAUGUGCUUGUGUGACAAACUAUUCAGUGUGAAUCUUGAGAUGUGCCAAAUAAAAAAGACUGGAAAUCCUGCUGUGUGCCUGCU
rnacentral:lncRNA from 1 species